CACGUAGGGUGCGAGCGUUGUCCGGAAUUAUUGGGCGUAAAGAGCUCGUAGGCGGUGUGUCGCGUCGGCCGUGAAAACCUGCAGCUUAACUGUGGGCUUGCGGUCGAUACGGGCAUCACUGGAGUUCGGCAGGGGAGACUGGAAUUCCUGGUGUAGCGGUGAAAUGCGCAGAUAUCAGGAGGAACACCGGUGGGCGAAGGCGGGUCUCUGGGC
rnacentral:rRNA from 1 species